UCGAGAAUUUCUCUCAAUGGGGGAAACCCUGAAGGAGCGACGCCGCGUGAAGGAUGAAGGUCUUCGGAUUGUAAACUUCUGUCAUUGGUGAACAAGGUUUUGCGGUUAACUGCCGUGAAAAUUGAUAGUAGCCGAAGAGGAAGGGACGGCUAACUCUGUGCCAGCAGCCGCGGUAAUACAGAGGUCCCGAGCGUUGUUCGGAUUCAUUGGGCGUAAAGGGUGCGUAGGCGGCGGGGUAAGUUUGAUGUGAAAUCCUGGGGCUCAACCCUGGAACUGCAUUGAAUACUGCCUUGCUAGAGAACUGGAGAGGAGACUGGAAUUUACGGUGUAGCAGUGAAAUGCGUAGAGAUCGUAAGGAAGACCAGUGGCGAAGGCGAGUCUCUGGACAGUUACUGACGCUGAGGCACGAAGGCCAGGGGAGCAAACGG
rnacentral:rRNA from 1 species